rnacentral:rRNA from 1 species
GACGAACGCUGGCGGCGUGCUUAACACAUGCAAGUCGAACGGAAAGGCCCUUCGGGGUACUCGAGUGGCGAACGGGUGAGUAACACGUGGGUGAUCUGCCCUGCACUUUGGGAUAAGCCUGGGAAACUGGGUCUAAUACCGAAUAGGACCACGCGCUUCAUGGUGUGUGGUGGAAAGCUUUUGCGGUGUGGGAUGGGCCCGCGGCCUAUCAGCUUGUUGGUGGGGUAAUGGCCUACCAAGGCGACGACGGGUAGCCGGCCUGAGAGGGUGACAGGCCACAGGGGGUCUGAGAGGAGGCCGAGAUGGCGACGGGGGGAAACGGGGGGAAAUACUGCACAAGGGCCGCAGGCGGGGUGCAGAAGCCCCGCGGGGGGGAAAGCGCCUUUGGGGUGAUAAACCUGUUGCAGGGGGCACGAAGCGAGUGUGGCGGGACAUAAAAGAAAAGCCCCGGCCAACCUUGGC